UACGUAGGGAGCAAGCGUUGUCCGGAAUCAUUGGGCGUAAAGAGCGCGUAGGUGGCUUCGUAAGUCCGUUGUGAAAGUCAAAGGCUCAACCUUUGAAAGCCGAUGGAUACUGCGAAGCUAGAGUACGGAAGAGGCGAGUGGAAUUCCUGGUGUAGCGGUGGAAUGCGCAGAUAUCAGGAGGAACACCAAUAGCGAAGGCAGCUCGCUGGGACGUUACUGACACUGAGGCGCGAAAGCGUGGGGAGCGAACAGG
rnacentral:rRNA from 1 species